CAAGAAUUGCAUGUGAAUUUGAUGAAUAUUAUAUAGAUAUAGGAGGUGAAGAAUAUCAAUGUGUGCAAUUGAAAUAUUAACAGAGAAUCAGUGGUAGCUCUAACCCAGGAAUUCUAAUGCAUUAAUUAGGCACAGUAGUUUAAGGGAAGAAAUGAGUGUGAGAGUACAUGGCUUCCAGUUCCAUUCAACUGUUUAUAUUGUGAUCUUAAGGAAAUCUCUCAUCUCCACAGAAGCUUAAAAUAUCUAUGACAUAUAGUAAUGAUUAAUUACAAGGGUGUAAAUUUACCUACAAUAGAACCUGACACAGGGAAGCCCCUUGAUGGAUCUUUAGGCUAUCAUAACUAACUUUUAAAUUAUACUUUUAAAAUAUACACAAACACAGU
rnacentral:lncRNA from 1 species